rnacentral:tRNA from 1 species
UCCCCGGUGGCUCAGAUGGUAAGGCAUAUGCCUUCAAUGCGGGAGACCCGGGUUCAAUUCCCGAGUCGGGAAA